AUUCCAGCUCCAAUAGCGUAUAUUAAAGUUGCUGCAGUUAAAAAGCUCGUAGUUGCAUUUCCGAGGCAAGGGAUUAGUCCGACCUUUGGUGGGUAUUUAAUCCUCUUGCCUCGUCCUUGAGUGGUGCUUCUUGGUAUUAAGUUAUCGAGGAGAUAGCCGCUCAUCGUUUACUGUGAGAAAAUUAGAGUGUUCAAAGCAGGCUUAUGCCGUUGAAUAUAUUAGCAUGGAAUAAUAAGAUAGGACCUCGGUACUAUUUUGUUGGUUUGAGAACCAAGGUAAUGAUGAAUAGGGACAGUUGGGGGUAUUCGUAUUCAGUUGUCAGAGGUGAAAUUCUUAGAUUUACGGAAGACGAACUACUGCGAAAGCAUUUACCAAGGAUGUUUUCAUCG
rnacentral:rRNA from 1 species